UUCCUUCUUUAACUGAUGCGGCAAACUAUAAAUUCAACAUGCAAAAAAAGAAGAGGAGGAGGAAGGGGGAGAGGAAGAGAAAGAAGAAGAAGAGGAAGAGGAAGAAGAAGAAAACAGUACCACUACCACACUGCAGUGACUUUUGCUAACUUGGAAGAGAAAGUUUGGAGAGACUGAAACCACAGCUCUGUCCCAACUUAUAUGAUGCCAGGGGUUGAACUUGGAGUCUCACGCAUACAAGUGCUGCCCUCUUAACAAUGAGUCACCUCCUUGACUGUUGUUCUAAAUUCCACUUUGAUGGUAUUUAUACAAGAGCAUAUAAUCUUGCAUGAAAAACUCAAGAUUGCUAAUGCCUUUGGAAUAAAGUUUAAGGGUUUUAACUAUU